rnacentral:lncRNA from 1 species
CUUUGGAAUUACUCUCCAAGACACCUGCUAAGUCAGAAGCCUCUAAGAGCUGCAUGGAGAGCAGUGGAGAUGAAUAUUGUCCAUCAACAGACUCAACAAAUGAGGGCAGUGGGGAUGACUACUUUCCCUCAAAGAACUCAGUAAAUGAGAGCAGUUCAGAUGUAUCAUGUGAUCCUGAAAUCAAGGCGUCAUCAGUGAAACUGAAAAGACGAAAGAUGUAAGAAAAGACUUACAGUAGGAAGACUGUGUCCAGCAAGUUGCCUUCUCAGGGUGAGAGAGUAGAAAGUGGGCACUCAAGUGAUACAAACUCAGGAAAUGUGUCAGUUUUGAGGCUCCAGAAAAAGAGAGAUGGAGCUCGGGUUUACAACAAAAAAACACUAUUGUCUGUACUGUCCUCUGCACUGCCAUAAAAUGGCACGGCACUUGAUUCGCAAACACAGCAAUGAACCAGCUGUGGCACAAGCAACAAGUUUUCCACUGAAAACAAAAGAACGAAAAUUGCAUUUGGACCUAAUUAGAAACAAAGGAAAUAGGGCACAUAAUAAUAAGGUCCUAAAAACUGGUUGUGGAACACUGAUCCCAAGCCAGCAAUCUGGGGAUGAAGUGAAAGCAGGUGACUACAUGCACUGUAUAAACUGUGAUGCUCUCCUUAAAAGAAAGUCAUUAUGGAGGCACAUGUCGAGGUGCAAGCUUGCACAAAAGUGUGCAACGAAAAAGCCAGGUAAAAGCAGGAUCCAAUCACUGUGUGCCUUUGCACAGCCAGUCCCAGAAGGAGUUGGCAGAAAGGUUUGGGAGCUGGUGAAUGCCAUGCACCAAGAUGAAGUCGCAGUCAUUAUCAAAGAGGAGAAAAGUAUUUUGAGACUUGGAGAACAUUUGUUUGCAAAACAUGGACAUGACAAAACCAAACAUGAAUAUAUUAGACAAAAAGUGCGGGAGAUCGGCAGACUACUUUGCCACUCAAGAAAGACUGGCAAACUUAAAAAAAUUGAGGACUUUUAUUUACCCUCUAACUUCAACUAUGUGGUCCAGGCGGUAAAAGAUGUGGCCGGCUUCGAUGAGGACAAAAACAUCUAUAAAACUCCCUCACUAGCUUUGAAGCUCGGUCACAGUCUAAAGAAGAUUGCAGAUAUUUUCGAGUGUGACGCGCAGAUGGCUG